GCCAAUAUGGCGGCUACUUAAGCUUGUUGUGCUUGUGUUUUCAGCGCAAUUUUCAACAGUGAAUCAGCCGCAGUCGUUCAAUCGUAUUCAACAUGGUGCCCAGUCGGAAGUGCUGCGUCAGUACAAUAUUGGCGUUUUUCCAGAGAAUUUCGCAUGAUAUGAUCGUCACAAUCGUACGGUAUUCAAUACAGCCACAAACAAUGAUGGUCCAAUUCGCUGAGACGUCUGUGAAACAGUGGAAUGAAGAGGUCAGGUCCAGAUGUCACCUCGUCCCACGCUUGAAGGAACCUCCAGAAGAUGAGGAUUCUCUGUACGGUGAGACUAACCCAACGUGAUAGGAAUGUGACCUGUCUGGUCAUCUCGUGACGUAAAAAGGUAUAAUAAAUGCAACAUAUAUCAUACUCAACGUCUCUUUUC